GCUGUUUUGAGCUUGUUUUGGGGCGAAAAUAGUGCCGUCCAUGACAUAAUAAUUCGAACGAAUGCGAACAAAUUUCCUCCAAAGCACAAGCUAGCAUACACACAUUAACAAAUAGAUCUGGUUUAACCAAAUUGCAUACGGACUCCAAAGUGCGAAACCACCAUAUAUUUUCUGCACAAAUCACUGAAUUCAAAAUACCAAGUGUACAAAAUGCGAGCACAGGUGAUGAAGUUAGAGAGAAAGAAAAAACAGUAGAAACAAAUGAAGCAGACAGAAGUAAAAAACACUAAUGAAGCUAAAAAUUUGAUAUUCACUCUCAAUGGGAAACAAAGAUUGUACGACAGCCCAUGCGACAAAAGAAGGCAGAAAAGCAUCUGGUACAAACAUAUAGGAAGAACAACUUGGCAUUCCCAUUGUAUCCUACUCAUGUUCAGGUUGAGAUAACUAAUUAGGCCUUUGUAUCCACACCAUUAAACAAAAUGCCUUCCUUAUUUUUCAAUAGUAUUCUGCCCAGAAAAUUCUUUUAACAAAAUAGAUUUCAGAUCAUCUUUGACACAUAUGGAUCGAGCUUGAAGCCAACAAAUCAACAACCACCAGAAACGAGCAAAGUUAAUCUUCCGAUUCAUUUUCACCUUUGAAUGAGACCACUUCUGACAGUUUACGACAAAGAAAUGAGCAAAGUUAAUCUCCAAGUCAUUUGGAAACCAACCCCUAAGCGUUUACACACAGAAAAAGAAACCGACUAUGGCUGGACAAUGAUAGACGAGGCAGACGAGCACACAAAUCACAUGUUUCACUGGAUUCUGAGACUAGAGAGAGAAAACAAAACAAUAGAGCGAGAUGAACCUAGGAUAACUACACAAAUCUCAGACAUUAUUUCAAACUUCAACCCAUUUUAUAGCUUAUUCAGAGAUCGAUUUACAAUGGGAACUAAAUGAAGAAGAGAAAUGAACCUGGAAUUGAGAAACUAAAUUAGUACAACAUUGAAAUUGACCAAGAGGGAGCAAAUAGCAGCUAAAAUCAGUCCUCGAGCAGUAACAGCCUCAAAAUUCUCAAAUAACUUCCAUUUUUAAAGUAAAAUCCAAAAUCGAAAUGAAGAAGAUGGGUUCUUUAGAUUUGGAAAGAAAAAAGAAACUUUAAACAAUGGUCGCUAUGAAAAUAUAAACAGCAAAAAACUCAAUCAUUCUUCUUCUGCUUCUUUUAGUAUUAGAAUUUAAAGGAACAAAUAAAAUAGAGAAGAAAUCUCUCGAAUCUUUUCCAAAAUCCUCUCUGAAGAAAUUUCCCGAAGUCCCUCUGAAAAUCCCCAGGAUCCCCUUCUCUUUGGGAUUUUAGGAUUCUGCCCGUUUGGUCUUUGUGUUUAUUAGUUAAUUGGAAUGAGUCGGGUUUGGGCAUGGAAUUGGGGCAUGGGUCUGGGCGUAGUUGGGCUGACCGAGCAGAUGAAUCUGGUGGGUUAAAGGGGUGGAAAAGAAUGGGCUGGCUCAAAUCAAACAAAACUAGCCCUUCCUUUGCUUUUCUCUUUUCUUUUUCUUUUCUAUACCUUAAAAAUCCUAAUUAAAUUAAUCCUAACAUUAAUCCUAAAUUAACCUAAAUUAUAAAAUUAGACU
rnacentral:lncRNA from 1 species